AUUGAACGCUGGCGGCAUGCCUUACACAUGCAAGUCGAACGGCAGCGCGGGGGCAACCCUGGCGGCGAGUGGCGAACGGGUGAGUAAUAUAUCGGAACGUAUCCAAGAGUGGGGGAUAACGUAGCGAAAGUUACGCUAAUACCGCAUACGAUCUAAGGAUGAAAGCAGGGGACCGCAAGGCCUUGUGCUCCUGGAGCGGCCGAUAUCUGAUUAGCUAGUUGGUGGGGUAAAAGGCCCUACCAAGGCAUCGAUCAGUAGCUGGUCUGAGAGGACGACCAGCCACACUGGGACUGAGACACGGCCCAGACUCCUACGGAGGCAGCAUGGGGAAUUUUGGACAAUGGGGGCGAACCCCUAGAUCCA
rnacentral:rRNA from 1 species